AAGUGCCGUUCAAAUAGGGCGGCACCUUGACGGUACCUAACCAGAAAGCCACGGCUAAUUACGUGCCAGCAGCCGCGGUAAUACGUAGGUGGCAAGCGUUGUCCGGAAUUAUUGGGCGUAAAGGGCUCGCAGGCGGUUUCUUAAGUCUGAUGUGAAAGCCCCCGGCUCAACCGGGGAGGGUCAUUGGAAACUGGGGAACUUGAGUGCAGAAGAGGAGAGUGGAAUUCCACGUGUAGCGGUGAAAUGCGUAGAGAUGUGGAGGAACACCAGUGGCGAAGGCGACUCUCUGGUCUGUAACUGACGCUGAGGAGCGAAAGCGUGGGGAGCGAACAGGAUUAGAUACCCUGGUAGUCCACGCCGUAAACGAUGAGUGCUAAGUGUUAGGGGGUUUCCGCCCCUUAGUGCUGCAGCUAACGCAUUAAGCACUCCGCCUGGGGAGUACGGUCGCAAGACUGAAACUCAAAGGAAUUGACGGGGGCCCGCACAAGCGGUGGAGCAUGUGGUUUAAUUCGAAGCAACGCGAAGAACCUUACCAGGUCUUGACAUCCUCUGACAAUCCUAGAGAUAGGACGUCCCCUUCGGGGGCAGAGUGACAGGUGGUGCAUGGUUGUCGUCAGCUCGUGUCGUGAGAUGUUGGGUUAAGUCCCGCAACGAGCGCAACCCUUGAUCUUAGUUGCCAGCAUUCAGUUGGGCACUCUAAGGUGACUGCCGGUGACAAACCGGAGGAAGGUGGGGAUGACGUCAAAUCAUCAUGCCCCUUAUGACCUGGGCUACACACGUGCUACAAUGGGCAGAACAAAGGGCAGCGAAACCGCGAGGUUAAGCCAAUCCCACAAAUCUGUUCUCAGUUCGGAUCGCAGUCUGCAACUCGACUGCGUGAAGC
rnacentral:rRNA from 1 species